rnacentral:rRNA from 1 species
UAGUCCACGCCGUAAACGAUGUCAACUAGCCGUCGGGCUCAUUAUAAGGAUUUGGUGGCGCAGCUAACGCGAUAAGUUGACCGCCUGGGGAGUACGCCGGCAACGGUAAAACUCAAAGGAAUUGACGGGGGCCCGCACAAGCGGUGGAGCAUGUGGUUUAAUUCGAUGCAACGCGAAGAACCUUACCUACCCUUGACAUACCGGUCGCGGAUUUCAGAGAUGAUUUCCUUCAGCUUGGCUGGACCGUGUACAGGUGCCGCACGGCUGUCGUCAGCUCGUGUCGUGAGAUGUUGGGUUAAGUCCCGCAACGAGCGCAACCCUCAUCCUUAGUUGCUAACAUUUAGUUGAGAACUCUAAGGAAACUGCCGGUGAUAAACCGGAGGAAGGUGGGGAUGACGUCAAGUCUUCAUGGCCCUUAUGGGCUGGGCUACACACGUGCUACAAUGGCGAUGACAAAGGGCAGCGACUCCGCGAGGAGAAGCUAAUCUCUAAAAGUCGUACUCAGUUCGGAGUUG